rnacentral:misc_RNA from 1 species
CACGGCUCAGCACGCCGACUCCUUGCUGCACCCCCUCCUUCCCCCCUUUUUGGGCUUUGCGGGGCGCCGACAAGAAGCAACCUCAAGACGAGCGUGCGCAUCUCCGUGCCUAUGUAAAUGCAGCGAUGAACGGCAGAUUACACCCCGCACGCCGUGGACUGCGUUACGAGAAGCGCCAUCGACGAUCAUUUCUUCUAGGCGGUGUGUGCUUGCUAGUGUGCCUUGCGCUCGGCCUCUUCGUGUUACCUCACACCUCCUCAAGCGAUGUAACACAGCCCACGGUUUCGAUGGCGCCAGCGCCGCCCUCGUCGCUGGCGCCUCGAUUGACUGAGCAGGCAACAUCAGGGGCGCCAAGCUCCACUCUCGCCUUCACCGACGCCCCUCCUGACACUCUCACUUCUAUCAACACCGCGGCACCGCUGCCGCGUCCCGCUGUGGACGAGGGGAGCAAUGCCGCGCAUGCCACGGUAGAGGCCCCAACGGGGAACACGCACACCAUCUCCGACGCUCCACCACCCACGGAAAGACCACAGCGCGACUCAGUCGAGUUACACAGCCGAUACGCGGCAGAGCUCGCGCAACUCGAUGCCCUCGACGUCUUUCCGCUCCGCCCUCACGAGCGCCGUAUCUCGUUUGUGGAGUUCGCGCGCUGUCUUGCCACCCGUCUCUCCGUCAGCCCCGACACGGGAGUAGAGGUGGAGCGGCACGAUCUCGCCUCCGACCGGUACGCACCCUUUCUCAUCUCUGUCACCCUGGAGAACACGCAGGAUCUCAAGGCGCUCAUCUGCAACUUGACGAUGCCGUACCGCUACAUUGUACUCGCCCAAAACGGCGACACGCCAGAGGUGACGCCGUUUUUCCGCCUGCUGCGCCGCGUGUUCGCCUUCACGACGCGUCUGACGGUUCUCCAGUUCCCCGACAACAUUGGCUUCGCCGGCGCCGUCAAUGCCGGUCUGCGUGAGGCCCUCAGCCACCCGUUCAGCGAGGUGCCCUUUCUCCACAUUGUGCACAACGACGUGCGCUUCUUGUGCUCGUCGCUUGAACAGGCUGUGGCACGCGCCUACAAGACGACAGCGAGGGACACGGAUAUGAUCGAUGCUCUGGAGAAGGAGGUUGCGACAGAGCCAAACGAGUACACGCCGCUGAUCCGGCAGCCCGACGGCUUGCGCACGCUGCUUCUGCCGGGUACCCCGCUGCCCCAGCAACAUGACCGCAAACCGGUUGUCGUCACGUCCGCGCUGUUGCCGGACCGUGUUCGGUACAUGACCCCGUCCAGGCGCGCGGAGCUGAUGGUGGGGCACACUUCCUUCAUGUUCGCCAACAGCCGCGGCGAGUACACGAGCGUCUUCCUUUCCCGCCUGGCUGUGCUGACGGUCGGCUUCUUUGACGAGAAUUUCUUUCCUAUCCUUUACGAUGACACGGACUACCGCUGGCGUGCCCACCUGCUCGGCUUCGUUGAAGACCACAACGCUGCGAUGAACGACCAGGUCAUCUCCUUCGACCUCGACUGCGUCAACCAAGCCAUGAGCGACGCCGACGGCGAUGGCAAUGCAGAGGGUCCAUUGGGGGGGCUUCGCAAGGCAGCUACGGGGCCGACGCUGUCCCCGAAAGGCAAGGCCCUUCAACGUGACUGCCGCAAGGCCUUCUAUGCCGGGGUGCAGUACGCGUAUAUGCAGCAGAAGUGGGGCGUGGAGUCCAUGACGGAACUCAUGCAGGCGCAUACAAGGCGGGAGCCCUUUAGCGGCGAGGCGUUCGCUGGUAGACUGCGCCUGCCGCUGGACGCGUGGGUGGUGGAUAGGAACCGGUUGACCAACCUGCGGACGUGGCUGCGCGACGUGGGGCGGCGCAUCCUUGAUGUGGAUAACUAUAACACUGACGUUAUUCUGCAGGCUGUCAGCCCUUAAGCCAGUGGGCGGAAAGCUGAAGUGUGUGGGUGAAGAAUGAUGGACGGGAGCACCGCUCGAAAGGAGGGGCAGGUGGGCCGUGUGAGGGCUUGCAUGUGCAUGCAGGUGACAUCGGAUGUGUGGGUAUCUGCUCCCUGUCGCUUGAGACUGGCCUGGCGAGCACAUGAGGGCCACGCGCCGCUCACGGCUGGAGCGGCUUGUGUUUCCUUGCACUGCACUGUUGACCUCCCAUAGCCGUCCUGCCUAACUUCGUGACGCUGCGCCUGUCCGCAUCUUUCCCACGCCCUCUCACUGUUCUUUCUUGUCUCUUCUCAUAUACCUUGUGCUGCAGCGUGAUGUUGCCUCGGUCGCAGCAGCGGACAGCAGCAGCGAUACC